UUCUCCCGCGUGCAGCUGACUCCGGUCACCGGUUCCUCGCCGCAGAGAUGACGCAGUAGGUCCCGCCGUUGCUCACGUCCAUCGGUGCCCUCAGUCACACCGACACACCGGGGAGUGUGUGCAAGAGUGCGGGUGCGCCAUGGCGGGGCUGACCCCCCCAGGUGCGCCAUGCUGAUACAUUUUGGGCAGCAAAACUUUGAGAGGUUUUUCAUCUCGAGAGCUUUUC